CCCUUAGAUGUUCUGGGCCGCACGCGCGCUACACUGACGAAUGCAACGAGCUUAUAACCUUGGCCGAAAGGUCUGGGUAAUCUCCAAAUUUCGUCGUGAUGGGGAUAGAUUAUUGCAAUUAUUAAUCUUCAACGAGGAAUGCCUAGUAAGCGCAAGUCAUAAGCUUGCGUUGAUUACGUCCCUGCCCUUUGUACACACCGCCCGUCGCUACUACCGAUUGGACGUUUUAGUGAGGAUUUUGGACUGAGCCAAUGGUGGUUCACACCACUGUUGUGCAUGGAAAGAUCUCCAAACUUGAGCGUUUAGAGGAAGUAAAAGUCGUAACA
rnacentral:rRNA from 1 species